UGCAUAGGAGCAUGAUGUCGCAUCCUCUAAUCAUAAACAGGGUAGCACGUGACCAUGCAUGUGGGGAGUGCAUGGUUAUUUUAAUCAGAUAUGCUUCGAUAGAAACGAUAAAUGGGAUAUUGUUUAAAAAUUGUAUAUGAAUUCCUUACAAAAUUUAACUGUAAUACAGGAAGGAAAUGUUCGCAUCAGUUCAAAUUGUAGUUGAUAAUUUUCCGAGAGACGUGAGGAAAAUGUACUGGUCGCUCAGAUUCGUCAUUGUGGUUUUUAAUAUCUUUGUUGCAGAUUGUGGAAGACUCUGUGAAAAUAGAGAGCAUGGAUGUUGUUCAGGUCAAGUGUGGAACGAAACGCUGGAAAUGUGUACAGAUUGAUCACUGUCCAUCAUCUUCACUUGUUCUUUCAACAAAGGAAGUAAAAAUCAUAUUGUACAACAGGAUACACGGGCAAGUUCUGCGAUAUCAGAUGUCAGUAUCCUUACUAUGGAAUACAGUGUCUUAUGAAGUGCGAUCCUCCCCACAGUAGAGACCACUAUGAUUUCAAAACAGGGUGUGCUCACAAAGAAUUCACAGUACUCUUUACUUCACCAGUAACGGAUUACUCAACGGUAAUGCAAAGAACUGACUCAGAUGAUUCUACGAAUAAACCAAUAGAUCGAGACAGGCGAUUUACAAACAAGUUGAUGUUGCGGAGGUCUCAACAAUCCGUUUAAAUAAGCAUGGAUGAUGUGUGGAAACAAUAUGGAAUGAAACACUCGGCAGAUGUACAGAAUUCACAGUACUCUUUACUUCCCCAGCAACGGAUUACUCUAAGGAAAUGCAAAGAGCAGACUCAGAUAAUUCUACAAAUAAAUCAAUAGGUAAUUGUAUUCUUAUCUAAACAUUAUGUUCCAUCUUUUGAGUGGGAUCUGUAUUUGAGCAAUGUAUGUUACCAUGCAUACAACGGAAUAUAUAAAGACGCGGAGAAAAAGAUGUGUACUCUAAAAUAGGCAUAUGUACACUAAUUACUAAUUAAAGACAACUUUAUGUCUAUUGUUUGAAAAUGUUUAUAUUGUACCCAUCAAUUUCUGGCUAGGGGACAAUAAUUCAACAUUUCACUAUUCCAAAUCUCCUUAGCUAUUGUUGUGCUCAAUAUCAACGACUUGUAUCAUGUAUGUAUCAACAUGCAUGUAUUACACAUCCAUUUUAUCAUUGAUUUGAUAGUAAUUAAACUAUAAAAUUGCAAUGCAUCAUAUUUUUGAUGAAAGCACGAACAAUAUCUAUAUACCGGAAUGUGAGAAUAAAGGAUUAAUGUAUAUGUAUAAUCCAAGGGCAAUGAUUCCGUUUUGAUUGAUUUCUUUAUAAAGUUCAUUAUGCAAUAUAUCUCCUUUAUUUUCACCGACAUUUUGUAUAUUUUUGUAAACAAGCAGUUUUAUGAAUGUAAAAAUGACUAACGCCAUUUUACUUUUAUAUAAUGUGUUGUACUCGAACACACCUUUUUAUGCUCCUGUUAUUAAAUGAAACACACCCAUCUUUCAAAUAAUUCUUUGUAAAAUCACCCAAGCGUAACUUUAUCGACGGGUAUUCAUUCUCGGGUGAGUUACGUCAAUGGUAAGACGGUGGGUGUGUCACUGUGCUGUAUGCUGACACGUGUUCGAUGUGAAUUAUUUAUAUACAUGUUUUAGUAACUUAUGUAUGGCACGUGUACGGAUACACGAUCGUGGUAAGUAUAUAUUUUGCAUUUAUAGUUCAUUUGCAGUGUGUACAAACUGUUAGAUAAGCGAAAAACGCUUAUUUAACAGUUUCUACAUACCCUCUCUUAUAUUUGAACUUGGCCAGUACUUACCGUUUUACACGUAUGUAUGGGCAAAGCAUGACGGUGGCGUGAUAAUUUAGAUCUUUUUAUUGUUACAUUAUAUAGAGAGUUAGCGAGUUAAUUUUCAAUGUUCUUGGUAAUAUUCUUGUGACAUUAUUUCUCUAUCUGGGCGGAAGUGAAUGACCGGAUGUGAUUCAGGGUCCGCCCAAUCUUUUAACAAAUAAGUAUCAAUGCUAGUUUUUACAUGUGCAUUUAUUUUCAUAUUUACUUUCAUCAUACAACUAUUGAACGAGGAAAUCAAUAUAGUGAAUUGUUGAACCAUAUAUCAACGGCAAUCCAUGAACAGCUAGUAUUUAGAUUCAACCCUGAGAGGAGAGGGAUCUACGGUUCAACAGUUUAAACCCUAAAAUCAAGAACUAUUAGGGAUUGCAGCUAAGUGACGAACGUGGUUCGCUCAUUGCAGUAUAUAGAACUUAAUCAUAGUUGCAAACAUGUCAUGUCAUGUGUUUUCAUUCAUUUUUGAAUUCGACAAACUUGGAGAUGACAAUAUUGACCAUUGAAGUCAAGUGGCAACUAACUGUAUAACUGUAUAAUCAUAUGGAGAAUAUUGAUAAGUUUUCUUUUGUCACUGUAAAUAUUAAUUGCAUAAGUUAUGUGUAUGUUAGGUGAGUGACAGAUGUGAUCAUUAUUGUUCUCUCUUUUUAUCUUUUUUUUUCUUUUGUAAAUAAAUUUUGUUAUUUGAAGUUAUUUUCUUGUCUGAUUAGAGAUAGCUUUGCUUGCCUCACGUUAUAAUGAAACUGUUAUGAAUACUAUUAUAUAGAUAUAAAUAGUUUUUAGGAAAUUUUGAUAAUGCUGAGAGGCUGACGCUGAUAUACAAUUCUGUUUAUGUAUAUUUCGCGUCUUGAAAGUGCGAUGGCCUAUGUAUUUUAUUUGAUAAUUUAUUAGUUUUAACUCUAAUAAAUAGAAAUAGAUACAUUUUCAAUAGUUUCAUCAGAUAAUGAUGCGAGUAUUCGGUUACCUUAACAUGUUACUUGUAUAUUUUUUCGCAUUCUAUUUGAUAUUUUGUCACUCUGGUAUGGACCUGCUCUGACUUUGAUCACAUAUUAAGUCCAUAAUGGUGAGUAAAUAUGUGUGCACAUGUUAUAUUCUAUGUUAUUACAUGUAGCAGGCUCUAUGGUUGAUAGUGGUUAAAACAUUCGCUCUGUAAAAGAAAUGGGUGUGGUUUCAAGCCCCGCUUGCACCUUGGUCGAGUCAAACCUAAGGUGGAAAAUUAUGUAAUGACUACUACCUAAUUAAAAUAUUCAAUAUUUGGAGAGGAAUGUUACAAGUCUAUCGCAUGAUACCUUACACGAAACCGAUGCUUCGUAUCACGACAGCAGGCACUAUUGUUACGGUCGUAGGUCGAUAGAAUAGGUCAAAAUUAAUUACACUUUAAUCUAUACCUGAUGAAGACUUGACAUGAGUUAAACAUUCUUAUUGGAACAGAAAACAAACCAAAAGAAUUUUUCAGGAAUGAUAUACAUUAAUGUUACUACCACAAGAGAUAAAAAUCGAUUUAAGAGCAGAAAUGGCCGGGUUGCUUUAAGAUAUGUUAUCUAUCAUAGAGACAAGUACAAAACAUACUGAAAAAAUGACAUUAAAUGUAGGAUUUAAAAAAAGAUGCAAUUUUAAAAUAUCAGAUGUAUAUUGUCUGUGUUUUUAUAACAUAUAUAAUGUACAAGGUAUGGAAAAUGUUAAGUAAAAGCUGUGAGAGGAGUUCGUUACACAAAGUAGCUGCAAUACUUAAAAUGACAAAGUUCAACUACAUCAUGUACACGCAAAAUUUUCAAAGAAUGUCCGAUAAUUUUUUUUUAAAAAGACGCAUGCAGAUCUCCAAUGCUUUUAUAACAGCUGUGCUGAAUCUGAGGGAUGUCAAAUAAAUGACCCACAUGUUUGCAGUUUCUCCCUAUACAACGGAAGUUGGGGGUGUGCUUACGAUUGCGGUCCCAAUCUUCACAUAAAUAGUAAUAACAAUCAGUGUAUAAUAAAACAUAUGUUACUAAAUUCUUUAUCAUGCUGAAUUUUAACAGGUUGUAUUAUAUCUAUGACAUAAAGAAGGUGAGAGGUUAAGAUAGCGAACAGUGAUCAAUCUCAUAACUCCUAUCAGCAAUACAAAAUAGAGAGUUGGGCUAACACGAACCCCUGGACACACCAGGGGUGGGAUAAGGUGGCUAGGAAUAGUAAACAUCCCCUGUCGACCGGUCACACCCACCGUGAGCCCUAUAUCUUGAUCAGGCAAACAGAGUUAACCGUAGCCAGAAUCACUGUGCCAAUUCUGUGCCAAGGUUUAAUUUCUUGGAUUUUAUGAAGGAAACAUUGUAAGGAGCUACUCUACAUCGUCAUAAUGGCUGACUUCCUAUAAAAACAUGGGGGGGGAAAAUCAAUAUCAGCAAUAUGUAACGUUUCCUUUUGAAUUUAAAUGCGUAGCCGAGUAGCUCAGUAGGUUAACAUACCGACUGCUGAACUGUAGGUCGCAGGGUCGAGUCCAGCAGGGGUCUUAAUUUUUUUGUCCAGAUUAUCUUCUACUAAAACUGUAUUUUUUGACAAAAUAAAGUGAAUUUGAAAAAAAUUAACUUCAAAAUAGUGUUCUACAUAUCCUCCACUUGUCAU